UGGGGAAUAUUGGACAAUGGGGGGGACCCUGAUCCAGCCAUGCCGCGUGUGUGAAGAAGGCCUUAUGGUUGUAAAGCACUUUAAGCGAGGAGGAGGGUACUGGUAUUAAUACUACCAGCUACUGGACGUUACUCGCAGAAUAAGCACCGGCUAACUCUGUGCCAGCAGCCGCGGUAAUACAGAGGGUGCGAGCGUUAAUCGGAUUUACUGGGCGUAAAGCGUGCGUAGGCGGCUAAUUGAGUCGGAUGUGAAAUCCCCGAGCUUAACUUGGGAAUUGCAUUCGAUACUGGUUAGCUAGAGUGUGGGAGAGGAUGGUAGAAUUCCAGGUGUAGCGGUGAAAUGCGUAGAGAUCUGGAGGAAUACCGAUGGCGAAGGCAGCCAUCUGGCCUAACACUGACGCUGAGGUACGAAAGCAUGGGGAGCAAACAGG
rnacentral:rRNA from 1 species